GCAAACGUUGCUCGGAAUCAUUGGGCGUAAAGCGCACGUAGGCGGCCUGUUAAGUCGGAUGUGAAAUCCCUCGGCUCAACCGAGGACGUGCAUACGAAACUGGCAGGCUCGAGUAUGGAAGAGGGUCGCGGAAUUCCCGGUGUAGAGGUGAAAUUCGUAGAUAUCGGGAGGAACACCAGUGGCGAAGGCGGCGACCUGGGCCAAUACUGACGCUGAGGUGCGAAAGCGUGGGGAGCAAACAGG
rnacentral:rRNA from 1 species